rnacentral:rRNA from 1 species
GAUGAACGCUAGCGACAGGCCUAACACAUGCAAGUCGAGGGGCAGCACAUGAGUAGCAAUACGAUGGUGGCGACCGGCGCACGGGUGAGUAACACGUAUGCAACCUGCCUGUAAGAGGGGAAUAACCCGGAGAAAUUCGGACUAAUACCGCAUAAUACCACGAGACUGCAUGGUUUUGUGGUUAAACAUUAUGGCUUACAGAUGGGCAUGCGUAUGAUUAGAUAGUUGGUAGGGUAACGGCCUACCAAGUCUACGAUCAUUAGGGGUUCUGAGAGGAAGGUCCCCCACACUGGUACUGAGACACGGACCAGACUCCUACGGGAGGCAGCAGUGAGGAAUAUUGGUCAAUGGGCGAGAGCCUGAACCAGCCAAGUCGCGUGAAGGAAGAAGGUUCUAUGGAUUGUAAACUUCUUUUGCAGGGGAAUAAAGGACGGUACGUGUACUGUUUUGUAUGUACCUUGCGAAUAAGGAUCGGCUAACUCCGUGCCAGCAGCCGAC